AAAAAAUGUGGUAUGCUCCAUUUCUACUGACAUUUAUUUCUCUAAAUUAAUUUACUUAAAGUAGGAAAGUGAUCACUAGAGUCUAGGAAGGUAAGAAGGGUGGAGGUAGCUACUAUCAAAAUACAAUUAGAUUGGUACUGGAGACUGCAUACCACGACAAGGACUGCCAGCAGCAGGCCAGGAUGGAGACAUCUCAGAAGCCUGCUGCAGCUCCUUGGUAAAAAAAAAAAAAAAAAAGUUGGUGUCUGGGACCCUGAGAAGCAGAAGACAUAUCCCUCCAGGGGAUUCGCCAUCAGAAAUAAGACACUGCCCGCCGUAGGCCUGGAUGGAGACAUCUUCGAAACCCGGAGCAGCAAUUUGUUUUUUGUUUUAUUUUUAAAUCCCAUUUCUCUUUAUCCCUGGACAACAGCUGUAUAGAUUUCAUUUGUUCGUGACUGCUUUUCACUUGGCCGUGGUGUGUAUAAUUAUCCUAUUAUAUCUGAUUUUUUUAUUUCCUUAUCUGCUCUGGUGAAUUCUAUGAAACUAGAUAACCCUUAAUGUAAUGAUUCUUAAAACAAUUAAAAAUUGACAGCACAGCACAGUCCUUAUGGCCCAGGUGCAGGCUGUGUGCUCUCAUCUUGGAAACAAUGAAAUGACUGCACAGUGAUAGUUCCAGAUUAAUGCUUGACUUGCAAAGACAGUUUGAAGAAAUUAUUAGAAAAUGAAACCAAGCCAACAUUGGGAUCCCGAGAAAAGAAAAAAAAAAAA
rnacentral:lncRNA from 1 species